UGUGGGAGCUGGCUUGCCAGCGAUGACGGCGGCACAUCCAAUAUAGAUGUGACUGACAGGUUGCUAUCGCUGGCAAGCCAGCUCCCACA
rnacentral:antisense_RNA from 1 species